UAAAAAAACGCCCAGGUUCAGCACAAACGCAGCUAUGUGUUGGUUAAAAAAACGCCCAGGUUCAGCACAAAUGCAGCUAUGUGUUGGUUAAAAAAAACUCCCAGGUUUGGCACAAACGCAGCUAUGUGUUGGUUAAAAAAACGCCCAGGUUUGGCACAAACACAGCUAUGUGUUGGUUAAAAAAACUCCCAGUUUCAGCACAAACGCAGCUAUGUGUUGGUAAAAAAAACUCCCAGGUUCAGCACAAACGCAGCUAUGUGUUGGUUAAAAAAACUCCCAGGUUCAGCACAAACGCAGCUAUGUGUUGGUUAAAAAAACGCCCAGGUUCGGCACAAACACAGCUAUGUGUUGGUUAAAAAAAAUGCUCAGGUUCAGCACAAACACAGCUAUGUGUUGGUUAAAAAAAUGCCCAGGUUCAGCACAAACGCAGCUAUGUGUUGGUUAAAAAAAUGCCCAGGUUCAGCACAAACGCAGCUAUGUGUUGGUUAAAAAACUCCCAGGUUCGGCACAAACACAGCUAUGUGUUGGUAAAAAAAAUGCCCAGGUUCAGCACAAACGCAGCUAUGUGUUGGUUAAAAAACUCCCAGGUUCGGCACAAACACAGCUAUGUGUUGGUAAAAAAAAUGCCCAGGUUCAGCACAAACGCAGCUAUGUGUUGGUUAAAAAAACUCCCAGUUUCAGCACAAA